ensembl:lncRNA PCA3 prostate cancer associated 3
GCUGAGUUUCAUUUGGGAAUAUACGAUACCCUUUCACCCACGUUGUGGAGUCAAAAAUGCUCUUUAAUUUUUAUGUCAGUUGAGGAAAACUGCUGCUACUCCUGCUCCCGAGUGAGACUGGAUGUGAAUGGGCUCAAAGCACAAGUUGUAAGGAAUUUAGUUCUCUUGAAACCUCUUUUUAAAAAAAAAUCCUGUAGUUUCACAGCACAUACCUAUAUGACAGCAAUGUAAUUAUUUUCAUUGAAUGAACAAUGGUUAAGAUCAUAAUAAAAUGGACUGUGGAAGCAUAGCAGGAUUCAUAAGGAAGUCCAGCUUCGGUCCUAGAGAAAGUUAGGAUGCUUGUCUAAGAUCAGUACGACUUCAGCGACUGGGAGAAAAAGGGGUGUGGAAGUUAACCUGUGGACCCUGCAGUCACAAGGCCAAGUUCAAAGCUGAUUUCUACCACUUAUUAGCAAGUGUGGACGUUACUAAACCUCAUGGCACCUUAAGACUGCUCAUUUACAGAAUGGACAGUAAUCAUGAUGUUCUUUAAAAAUGGUAAGAUAGCCGGGUGUGGUGGCACGUGCCUGGAGUCCCAGCUACUCAGGAGGCUAAGGCAGGAGAAUCUUGAACCCAGGAGAUGGAGGUUGCAGUGAGCCGAGAUUGCAUCGCUGCAUUCCACACUCCAGCGCUGGCAACAGAGUGAGACUCCCUCCACCCCCUCCCCCCCUCCAAAAAAAAAAAAGAGACAGGGUUUCAUUAUGUUGCCCAGGCUGGACUUGAACUCCUGAGUUCAAAUGAUCUGCCUGCUUCGGCCUCCCAGAGUGCUAGGACUACAGGCAUGAGCCAUAGCACUUGGCCCUAUGAACUUUGUACAAUAUCAGAGUUCUGGAAGACGGAAAGUCCAAGAUCAAGAUCCUGACAUACUCGCUGUCUGAUGAGCACCUGCCUCCUGAUUCAUAGGCUGCCAUCUUUUUGCUGUGUCCUCACGUGACAGAAAAGAAUCCAUCAAGCUUGAGUUGAUUUAUUGAACUGUCUCUUGGCUCAGCAGUACAACUACAGCAAAUGAACUGGUCUGCAGGCUCACUGACACUCUCUGAAGAUGGCGGGUUCCUAAAAAGUCAUGAGAGUUGAGGGAUGCAUUUCAGUGUAUGCUCAGAGACAUCAUGGCUUUCAUCAUCUUCCUUCUUCUUCUGAGUAACCAACUCUAGAAGCAAUUUGACUUGGAGCGUCAGUGGAGGCGUCUUAAAUCUGGAUGACUGAACUGCAUUAGAAGAGACAGAGUCUCACUGUCAGUUAGGAUGGAGUGCAGCACCGUGAUACUAGCUCACUGCAGUCUCAAGCCUCAAGGGCUGCUCCCGCCUCAGCCUCCUGAGUAGCUGGGACUACAGGCAAGCAUCACAAUGCCCAGAUGAAUCACGGUGUUUGGAAAGGAUGCAGGCAUUUUCUACCCCACAGAACUUUACAAUCCAUACAAGCAUUUCUCUCUACAUUAUCACAUUUAACCCUCAACACAAUCUGGAUAGGUGGAUAAGAAGGCUGAAACCACAGGAAAUUUUUGUGAUGGGUCCAGGAAAAAAAAAAUUACGGGUAGCAAAUGGCUGUGAAUUUAAAGUCAAAGCUUCUGAUCCUUUUCUAUUCCAUGAUCACCCUUGACCAGGGGAACUGGUCCAGGCAACGUAGUCUAGGAGGGGCUCAGGGGGUUCAGACAGGAGCAGAUCAGAAGGUGGCAAAUAGGGACAAGAACCUAAGGUCUGCUCUGCUCCAGUGCAAAGCAGGUGUUUGCUGGAGAAGCAGACUUCAUACUGGAAGAAACAAGCCCCUUUUAGCUGGUGGCCACUGAGCUGACUGAGUUACAGUCCCCUCGAGGUAGAGUGUUCAGCCACAGAAGCCUUGCCUGCUCACCUCCCCGUCUGGGUCUCCCUCCCUGGAGACCACCAUUUGAGGUGUAAUGGAAAUAGUGCAUUUGAUGCCUGCCUCUGUCACAGAGUUUUUGUGUGACUGUGAACUCAUACUUACCUCUGAUACAAACAGGAAGCAGGGAGAUACUGGGUAGAAGAGGGCAGUUCCCUUACCCCACCCUCAAUCCUGGAAACCCGUAUCCCUAAAUGGGAAUAAGCAUUCCUGUUUUCACACCCAAAUGUUGCCUUUUGGCCCACCACGCCCUGCUAUCCUGUGCCCACACAGACCCCAAACCCCAGGCUCCAUGAGCAGAUGAGCAGAAGAGCAGAGGGACAGCAGAAGAGCAGCGUGGCAGAGAAGGAGAGAAGAAAAGGAGUGUCUGAACAUCGAGAGGACUUUGGCUGGGGUCAUUUGGAGAGGAGAGUGGCUGAACUCCAGGGGAAGAUCAUCUUCCCACUCCAUUCCCUUUCCAGCUCCCCAUCCAUCCUGCUGAAAGCCAUCUUCGUCUGGCAAUAAAAUCCCCCACAUUUACCAUCUUUCAAUUUAUCCAUGUGGCCUGAUUCUUCCUGGAUGCUGGACAAGAACCCAGGUACCAAGAGGGCACUGAGCUGGUUAACACUUAAGCCAUCUGUGGACUGCAGAGUUAAAAGAGCACUGUAGCAUGCCCACUGGGGCUUUGGGAGUCACAGGCACCCAGCCCUAGAUGCUACCACGGGGCCGGAGCCCAGAAGCACUCGCCCUGGCUCCUGCACCUGCCCAUCUGCGUGCUCCUCCUCCCAUAAGGGGUUUGAGCACACAGCUGCCAAACAGAUGAGCCACACCCCUGUCACACGUCCUGCGAGGGCAGUCAGGGAAUUCUCCAGUUUCACUUCCUUUGUACACUAAC